rnacentral:rRNA from 1 species
GGGUGCGAUUAUAUCAGCACUAGUGCACUGUAUCCCCAUCAGAACUCCGCAGUUAAGCGUGCUUGGGCGAGUGUAGUACUAGGAUGGGUGACCUCUUGGGUAGUCCUCGUGGUGCACCCU